UUUUUUUUUUUUUUUUUUUUUUUUUUUGGCCGCACCUGCAGUUUAUAAAAGUUCUCAGGCCAGGGAUUGAAUCUGAGCCCCAGCUGUGACUUAUGUCACAGCUGCAGCAAUGCUGGAUCAGAAAAUUGUCCUGGUUUUCCUGAGAACUCUAGGUGUAGACAGCCACUUGCUGCAUCCCUGGGAGAACUUGUCUUUGCCUGGAUGCUGGGGGUCAGGGGAGGACCUCUCCCCAGUAGGACCCACUCUCCAUGGAGUCAGCCUGUGCUCCAUUCAGUCCUCCCCUUUGGUAACCAUAGGUUUGUUUUCAAAAUCUGUGAGUCUGGAGUUUCCGUCAUGGCUCAGCAGAAACAAAUCUGACUAGCAUCCAUGAGGACACAGGUUCAACACCUGGCCUCGCUCAGCAGGUUAAGGAUCCGGUUUUGCUGUGAGCUGUGGUGUAGGUCGCAGACACGGCUCAGGCCUGGCAUUGCUGCAGCUGUGGCUGUGGCUGUGGCUGUGGCCAGCAGCUACACCUCCGAUUCAAAUGUGCCACAGGUUCGACCCUAAACAAAAAAGCAAACAAAUUCUGUGAGUCUGAUUCUUUCUGCAAAUAAUUUCAUUUGUAUACCUUUUUUAGAUUCCACAUACAAGUGAUAUCAUGGGAUAUUUGCCUUUAACCUCACUUAGUGUAAUAAUCUCUAGGUCCAUCCAUGUUGCUGCAAAUGGCAUUAUUUCAUUCUUUUCUAUGGCUGAGUAAUAUUCCAUUGUAUAGAUACACCACGUUUUCUUUAUCCAUUCCUCUGUUGAUGGACAUUUAGGCCCUACAACUAAUACUUUUUUAUGACAGGGACCAUUUGGGGGUUUAGGGCUACUCCACUGCUGAAACCACAGUCUUACACCUCAUGGAGCCUAUAUAGGCUAAUGGGGAAGUAGAGCAAUUAGACCACACACCUGAAAGGUGACUGCCUGGGUUUCACUUUACUGUUUAACAGUUUGUAACUUAAAUGAGAUACUUAAGUUCUUUGAGUCUUAGGUCCUUCAUCUGCAAAAUGAAGUUCAUGAUAAUACUUGUGAGAAUUCAUGGGUUCAUAAAUGUUUGGGACCACACUUGGCACCCAGAAGUGAGGCAUAGCUUCUUUCACUUCUUUAUAGUCAGCAGAUCAAGAUGGCGGAGGAGUAAGACUUCGAGCUCAGCUUCUCCCACAAACACAUCAAAAAAACGCAUCUACGUGUAAAAUGACUUGCACGGAACAUCUACUGAAUGCUGGCAGAAGAACUUAAACCUCCAAAAAAGGGCAAGAAACCCUUGACAUAAUGGGGUAGAACGAGAGAGAGAAAAGGAAUCAGGACAGGACUGGCAUUCCUGAGAGGAAGCUGUGAAGGAGAAAGGAACCCACACCCUGGGAAGCCACCUAACCUACUGGGAGACCAGCCGAGACAGAGGGACCUCAAAGUCGUGGAGAAAAGCACAGCAGCUGCACUGAGGACAAAGUAGAGUGAGAGCUGCACAGAUCAUCUGCACCACCGUCUGGACACCACAGCCUGAGACACUCCAGAGGUCAGUCCCGGGGAAAGGACUAGGGUUGGCUGUGUGGGGACUGCCUGAGGGGCUAAGGAACCGUGCGCCACGGGCGGGGGAACAGUGUGCUACGGGCUGGGGAGUAGACCGCCAUGGUAGAGGGAACCCAGGAGAAAGUCUGGUCCUGCAGAGGAAACAAGGCGCCAUUGUUGGGGAGGGUGGGAGGAGGAGGAGGAGGGGGCGGGCAGCCAUAGGAAUCUCCCUGCGCAUGCGCUGGCGGGCUCUCAGAGGGUGGUGCCUCUGGCACAGGCUGUGGGUGCUACUUGCUCUGGCUACAGGAGACAGGGCACUUCUUGUGCAGGCCACAGGUGGCCGGGAACCUCUUGUGUGGGCUAAGGGCAGCACAAGGGUUAGCAGGAUGUGGUGCCUCUUGCGUGAUCUGCAGGCAGCAGGAACGGACCACGGUGGUCGUCUUGGAGGCCAGAGGGAGAUAUGGCCUGCCACCACUGGGGGCCUGUGAGUGGGCUCCACCUGCAGUCCCAGUCACCUCAGGGGUCAGCAAAAAAAAAAAAAAAAAAAAAA
rnacentral:lncRNA from 1 species